CAAAUAUUUAAGGAAAUUAAAAAAUUAUAUACGGCAAUGACGCGAGUCGUGGCUCCCUAGUCCGCAGUCUCUGUCCAAUUAAUAAUAAUAAUAAUGAGAAUUUAUUUUGAAAAAAGGAGUAUCUACGUGCUUUUAAGAAUCUUGAAAUUUAACUUCUUUAAUAGAUUCUUCUCUGUUCCUAUUCACGCGAACUGUUGCAACUUCCACUGUCUACUCCUAUUGCCCAAAUAUUUCAAUUGCUGCUUUCGUCGCCGCCGCCGUUGCCGUUGCCAAGAGCAUAUUUCUGUGGAGCCCUCCGCAAAUUGCGCGAGAAGUUUAUCUCAUUCUUCUGGGCUAAUACCAUGUCAUUCCAAGCUAACGUCCGUCACCUGUCGCCUAUGGCAUUGUCACUCACAGCCCAGAUUGGCUAUGAUUGCGGAGGAUAGGCGAAUGUGAUGCAUCAGAGCGCAUGCGUUGUGGACUUGGAUGAUGAGCGGGUAUUAUUGAGAAUGAAGGAAGACCUUUGCAAGGAAACACUGGUUGGGUGAUGAUGUCGGAUUGCAGGACAAAAACUAGUUGUUUCCCCAGAGCCUCGGGAUGGAGGCAGAUAUUGGCGUCCCGUGACAGUGUGGUAUCAGAGCAAACAAUGCCUUCAACCAAAAACCAUUUGUUCAUAUGCUUAAUUUUGGUAUGUUGUGUCUUCCUCAACAGCUUGUGUGCCUGCAACUGAGAUGCAGGUUUCAGAUAAAUAGCAGAUCGUGUAUUGUAUUCUUCGCCUCGACGAAUUCUAAUUUCAUCAUUUCUUUCCUGAUUGGGUAAAAUGUAAAUUACAGGGAAACUAUCAUUUUGAAUCCCAUCGUUUGAGACUUUCUUAUAAAUAAUACACUUGUGUAUAAUAAAAUACUUAUACUAUCAUUUUUUUCAAAA